ACGGAUUUCCUAAUUACACUGGCUGUGCCCUCGGCAGUGGCACUGGUCCUUUUUCUAAUACUUGCUUAUAUCAUGUGCUGCCGACGGGAAGGCGUGGAAAAGAGAAACAUGCAAACACCAGAGUAAAUGGUAUCCCUGAAGAAAGAAAACUGACUGAAGCAAUGAAUUUAUAAUCAGACAAUAUAGCAGUUACAUCACAUUUCUUUUCUCUUCCAAUAAUGCAUGAGCUUUUCUGGCAUAUGUUAUGCAUGUUGGCAGUAUUAAGUGUAUACCAAAUAAUACAACAUAACUUUCAUUUUACUAAUGUAUUUUUUUGUACUUAAAGCAUUUUUGACAAUUUGUAAAACAUUGAUGACUUUAUAUUUGUUACAAUAAAAGUUGAUCUUUAAAAUAAAUAUUAUUAAUGAA
rnacentral:lncRNA from 1 species